AAUCUCGAUAAGGUACCACCCAUUGAAUUACGAUGACCACUCCUCCACGCGUUACGAUUUAUUCUUGGUAGCGCCAAUCAAUUUCGGAUAUUAGGCCGUCCGUUCAACUGCAUCAUCUUCCUUCCUUAAUUUCUUCCUCAUUGAAUUCGUAUCAAUCUCUUCCUCGUUUCUCUCUCUUCAAUCUCUCAGAGAAAAAGAAAAAAAAAACUACCUACCAUCCAUCUUCUUCAAGAAAUCACCGCCAUGGUCAUACAAAUUCGGGUGCUUUUAUGCUUCAGAAAAACCGGCGCUGAAAACAUAUGUUGGAUGAAUAUCUGUCGAGUUUGGAUAUCCGUCAUAUACCAUGAACAUCAUAACAGUUGGAUCUAAAAGGUCCUGGAACCUCACCAAAAUCACCUCAACCCUAUUGGAUGAACUCUCGGGAACACACGACUCUCCAUGUCCUACCUAUGGUGAUCUUGAUAACAUGUUAGCGUCAAAUCCACAACGCUUGUUGUUUCAUCAUUAGGAGAAGAUUAUGUAUCGGUUAAUUCAAAUCCAGAAACCAAACGAAGACUUCUCUUCAGAAUGGAGCAUCAAACAUCAAGACCACCGAAUCAGAAGAAAGUCUGGGAAACAUCUAGUUACCUUAUUGAUGGAUCUUGAACAGGUUGGACAGUUGGAUGAACUCUUUGAAUGUUCAAACAACAAUGAUUACAGUGAGAAAGUAAAGCUCUAUUAGGAAUUUGAUACCGAGCUCUAAAGUAAAGCUUAUUGAUGGAUCUUGAACAGCUCAAUCUUGGUACCUCUGUAAGCACAUUCAUCACACCGCUCCAGUUCGUGCUCAAAAAAUGUAUGGUUUGCCAUUUGAUACUGAUUCCCCUGAAAAUCACAUUUGUCACAGUCUAGCAGGGCAUGCUUUACAGUGCUCACUCUUGCGUUUCGCACGUUUCCUGCAGGAAGUAAAAAGUCUCACAUUACAACGAAAAUACUAAGAAGAGUAGUUGGAGGUGUGCAUGGAAGAGACCUUCUAAAGGAGACUUGAGAAAAUGCGAUACAGGUGGGCAUCAAUUCAUAUCUUUCCCAUAUGGUAUGAUUAAUAUAAUAACAACAUAGUAGUACAAAUUUAGCAUGGUACACAAUAAAGGUAAUGAAUACACCAUGUUUGCAGCAAUAAAUUAUACUAGUCCUAUAUAUGUGUGUGAAUUGAGUGCACAGAUUCAUUGGGGCAAAAGACUUGCUCGAUACAAAUUUGUGCCGUUCUGAGGUCCAAGAACUUGUGUCAUGGGAAUCUGCUUAAUUUCCCUUUCACAGCUCAAGAUGCUCCCAUUUCAUCAAUACUAGGGGUGGUGACAAAGUGAACCAACUAUGGUCACCGGUGACAAAAACAAAAUGCAAGUUACGAUGGUGGGGGUGGGGGUAUCGUCACACCUAAAAUAAUCGCCUGCAAACAAAACUGUGUGCACGACCAGAGAAUGAAAAUGCCAUUGAUGUAGCUGGUACCACCAGCAUUCUGGAGGGCAAUGAAUACAAGUGGGCAAUACAAUUGCCGGUGAAGCUCAGUGCAACAGUUCUAGCAUCAACGUAAUAACUAGUUUAAGAAGUUACAAUAGAGUGAACUCUCGCAUCAACAUGUCGUCCAUUAGGGCAUAUCAAGAGAAAUAUUGUGCCAAUACCGUCAUCCACAUGAGUUAUGAAUCCUAUGUAGAAAUUACAAUCAAUUUGUUUAUUACCCUAGAUUUAAACUUAUCAUAAAGAAAAAAACCUAGAUUUAGACAAGUUAAACAAAGUUUUAUUUUAAAACCUAGAUUUGUCAAUACCUUGUGUCUAGCCGAUUAUUGGAGCCCUGGUCCAGUGGCCACCUUUCUCUUGCUGUCGCCUAUUGGCUUUAUCCUUCUUCAUCCUAAAUUCUUCUCCUAGUCGUUGUUCCUCCGAAUUUCUUUCAGGUAGCUUUCUUUGUCUCUUCCCUUAAGAUCAGUGGAUGACGGUAUUGGCACGAUAUUUCUCUUGAUAUGCCCUGAUGGACGACAUAUGUUGAUAUGGGCUGAUGGAUAUCCGAAACAAAGCCCAAAACUGAACGAAAAACCGACUCGGCGAAAUGCGUCUAUUUUACCGUUUAAAUUCCUCACCACCAAGUUUUGUAAAGAAAGGCCAACUUAGGGCUUUCUAUUGUGAUAGAGGGGCAUCUAACACAAAAUUAUACAGUCAUUUUGUGUAGUAAAUCAAUGAGUUUCACUUCCA